CUUCACGAAUCGCAUGGUCUUGAACCGGCGAUGUUUCAUUCAAAUUUCUGCCCUAUCAACUUUCGACGGUAGGGUAGUGGCCUACCGUGGUGGUAACGGGUGACGGAGGAUUAGGGUUCGAUUCCGGAGAGGGAGCCUGAGAAACGGCUACCACAUCCAAGGAAGGCAGCAGGCGCGCAAAUUACCCAAAUCCCAACUCGGGGAGGUAGUGACAAGAAAUAACGAUGCUCCGGCCACUGGUCGGGUAAUCGGAAUGAGAACAAUUUAAAUCCCUUAUCGAGGAUCAAUUGGAGGGCAAGUCUGGUGCCAGCAGCCGCGGUAAUUCCAGCUCCAAUAGCGUAUAUUUAAGUUGCUGCGGUUAAAAAGCUCGUAGUCGGAUUUCGGGUGGCGCCUACCGGUCCGCCUUUGGUGAGUACUGGUAGGUACCACCUUUCUGCCGAGGACGGGGUACUGGGCUUAGUUGUCUGGGCCUCGGAGUCGGCGAUGUCACUUUGAGUAAAUUAGGGUGUUCAAAGCAGGCUUAUGCUCUGUAUACACUAGCAUGGGAUGACACGAUAGGACUUCGGUUUAUCUUGUCGGUCUGUAGAUCGGAGUAAUGAUUAAGAGGGACAGUCGGGGGCAUUCGUAUUUCGUAGUCAGAGGUGAAAUUCUUGGAUUUACGGAAGACGAACUUCUGCGAAAGCAUUUGCCAAGGAUGUUUUCAUUGAUCAAGAACG
rnacentral:rRNA from 1 species